UACGGAGGGUGCAAGCGUUAUUCGGAAUUAUUGGGCGUAAAGAGCGCGUAGGCGGCCUUUCUAGUCAGAUGUGAAAUCCCGGGGCUUAACCCCGGAAGUGCAUUUGAUACUGUUGGGCUUGAGUAUGGGAGAGGGAAGUGGAAUUCCUGGUGUAGCGGUGAAAUGCGUAGAUAUCAGGAGGAACACCGGUGGCGAAGGCGGCUUCCUGGACCAAUACUGACGCUGAGGCGCGAAGGCGUGGGGAGCAAACAGG
rnacentral:rRNA from 1 species